UACGAAGGGGGCUAGCGUUGCUCGGAAUUACUGGGCGUAAAGCGCACGUAGGCGGCUCUUUAAGUCGGGGGUGAAAUCCUGGAGCUCAAUUCCAGAACUGCCUUCGAUACUGUAGAGCUUGAGUUCGGGAGAGGUGAGUGGAACUGCGAGUGUAGAGGUGAAAUUCGUAGAUAUUCGCAAGAACACCAGUGGCGAAGGCGGCUCACUGGCCCGAUACUGACGCUGAGGCACGAAAGCGUGGGGAGCAAACAGG
rnacentral:rRNA from 1 species